rnacentral:rRNA from 1 species
CUACGGGGGGCAGCAGUGGGGAAUAUUGCACAAUGGGCUCAAGCCUGAUGCAGCCAUGCCGCGUGUGUGAAGAAGGCCUUCGGGUUGUAAAGCACUUUCAGUGAUGAGGAAGGUGAUAUGGUUAAUACCCAUAUUAUUUGACGUUAGUCACAGAAGAAGCACCGGCUAACGCCGUGCCAGCAGCCGCGGUAAUACGGAGGGUGCGAGCGUUAAUCGGAAUUACUGGGCGUAAAGCGUACGCAGGCGGCGAAGUAAGCCAGAUGUGAAAGCCCCGGGCUCAACCUGGGAAUAGCAUUUGGAACUGCUUGGCUAGAGUGCGGUAGAGGGUGGUAGAAUUGCAGGUGUAGCGGUGAAAUGCGUAGAGAUCUGAAGGAAUACCGAUGGCGAAGGCAGCCACCUGGGCCGACACUGACGCUCAUGUACGAAAGCGUGGGUAGCAAACAGGAUUAGAUACCCCGGUAGUC